AGUCAGCUAGGCGGUCGCGUGUAUCGGCGUUAUUUUUCCAACCCUUGGUGACGCCGUUACCCGAGGAACGUCCGGACUCCACAGAGCGCAGUGGUGGGUAACGCCCACCCGGGGUGACCCGCGGGAAAGUGCCACAGAAAAUAUACCGCCUUUUCGGCGUCACGCUGAAAGGGUAAGGGUGAAAUGGCGAGGUAAGAGCUCACCGCAUUGCUGGCAACAGCAAUGGCAUGGUAAACCCCACUGGGAGCAAGACCAAGCAGCGCGCAUUGAAGCUGCUCGCUGAGCGCGCGGGUAGGUUGCUUGAGCUGUAUGGAGACGUACAGCCUAGAUGGAUGGCUGCCGCUGAGAUGUGACGCCGAGUAUUAUGCUCGUAGCCACAUCUCAGACAGAAUCCGGCGUAUCGGCUGGCUCA
rnacentral:RNase_P_RNA from 1 species